UGGAAAGUUCCCGACUCCAGUGUCCCUU
rnacentral:piRNA from 1 species